UACAGAGGGGGCAAGCGUUAUUCGGAAUUAUUGGGCGUAAAGGGCGCGUAGGCGGCCUGGCAAGUGGAAGGUGAAAUCCCUCGGCUUAACCGAGGAACUGCCCUCCAAACUGCUUGGCUUGAGUCCGGGAGAGGUGAGUGGAAUUCCCAGUGUAGCGGUGAAAUGCGUAGAUAUUGGGAGGAACACCAGUGGCGAAGGCGGCUCACUGGACCGGAACUGACGCUGAUGCACGAAAGCUAGGGGAGCAAAACGG
rnacentral:rRNA from 1 species